UAUUCAACGCCGGAAAUCUUACCGGGACCGACAGCAAUAUGAAGGCCAGGCUGAAGACUUUGCCGGAUUAGCUGAGAGGUGGUGCAUGGCCGUCGUCAGUUCGUACUGUGAAGCAUCCUGUUAAGUCAGGCAACGAGCGAGACCCACGCCCACAGUUGCCAGCGUACUCUCUGGAGUGACGGGUACACUGUGGGACCGCCGCUGCUAAAGCGGAGGAAGGAAUGGGCAACGGUAGGUCAGUAUGCCCCGAAUAUCCCGGGCUACACGCGAGCUACAAUGGUUGGUACAAUGGGUAUCUACCCCGGAAAGGGGACGGGAAUCUACCUAAAACCAAUCUUAGUUCGGAUUGAGGGCUGCAACUCGCCCUCAUGAAGCUGGAAUCCGUAGUAAUCGCGUUUCAACAGAACGCGGUGAAUACGUCCCUGCUCCUU
rnacentral:rRNA from 1 species